rnacentral:rRNA from 1 species
UGGGGAAUAUUGCGCAAUGGGGGAAACCCUGACGCAGCAACGCCGCGUGAAGGAUGAAGGUUUUCGGAUUGUAAACUUCUUUGAUGAGGGACGAAACAAAUGACGGUACCUCAAAAACAAGCCACGGCUAACUACGUGACAGCAGCCGCGGUAAUACGUAGGUGGCGAGCGUUGUCCGGAAUUACUGGGUGUAAAGGGCGUGUAGGCGGGGAUGUAAGUCAGAUGUGAAAUACCGAGGCUUAACUUCGGGGCUGCAUCUGAAACUACGUUUCUUGAGUGUCGGAGAGGAAAGCAGAAUUCCCAGUGUAGCGGUGAAAUGCGUAGAUAUUGGGAGGAACACCAGUGGCGAAGGCGGCUUUCUGGACGAUAACUGACGCUGAGGCGCGAAAGCGUGGGGAGCAAACA